UGUGCCAGCCGCCGCGGUAAUACGUAGGGCGCAAGCGUUGUCCGGAAUUAUUGGGCGUAAAGAGCUCGUAGGCGGUUUGUCGCGUCUGCUGUGAAAACCUGAGGCUCAACCUCGGGCUUGCAGUGGGUACGGGCAGACUAGAGUGCGGUAGGGGUGACUGGAAUUCCUGGUGUAGCGGUGGAAUGCGCAGAUAUCAGGAGGAACACCGAUGGCGAAGGCAGGUCACUGGGCCGCAACUGACGCUGAGGAGCGAAAGCAUGGGGAGCGAACAGGAUUAGA
rnacentral:rRNA from 1 species